CUCCAGCACCAGAGCAGGAGACCACAGAACCCCUCUGGUUUCCCCGCAUACCAUCUCUAUGAGCUGUAAAUAUUAAUUCCUAACUAUUCUGUACCCACCAACGUAAAAGAGGAUAUGAGGAGUAGUUUGGAAUGAACAUCCAGGCUCACCUUCCACAUCUUUCUGACUAGUCUCCAAGGAUAAGAAGUCAUGAAAAUGAAUGGUGAAAACUCCACUACCUGCAUUAAGUCCAGUUGGGUGGAAGUGGGGUCUGCCAAUCUCUUGGUUGACAUCUGAUUGGGUAGGUAAGUCAAACGAUGCCAACUGUCUUCAAUAUAGGAUAUAGCGAAUUAAAAAGUGGCCCCCAAAAUAAAUGUCCUGACAAGUCAUAAUCUCCAGAACAUGUGAACAUGACCUUAUUUUUGAAAAGAGCUCUUUGUAGAUAUUAUUAAGUUAAAGAUCUUGAGAUGGAAUUAUUUUAGAUUUAGGUUUGGCCUUAAACCCAAUGACAGGAUUUUUAUAGGAGAAAGGCAG